rnacentral:rRNA from 1 species
UACGAAGGGGGCUAGCGUUGCUCGGAAUCACUGGGCGUAAAGCGCACGUAGGCGGAUCUUUAAGUCAGGGGUGAAAUCCCAAGGCUCAACCUUGGAACUGCCUUUGAUACUGGGGAUCUCGAGUCCGGAAGAGGUGAGUGGUACUGCGAGUGUAGAGGUGAAAUUCGUAGAUAUUCGCAAGAACACCAGUGGCGAAGGCGGCUCACUGGUCCGGUACUGACGCUGAGGUGCGAAAGCGUGGGGAGCAAACAGG